rnacentral:lncRNA from 1 species
GUUGAAAUCAGCUGUAUUAGGCCAUUCUUGCAUUGCUAUAAAGAAAUACCUGAGACUGGGUAAUUUAUAAAGGAAAGAGAUUUAAUUGGCUCAUAUUCCUGCAGGCUAUACAGGAGGCAUGGUGCUGGCAUCUGCUUGGCUUCUGGUGAAUCCUCAGGGAGCUUUUAUUCAUGGUGGAAGGUGAAGUGGGAGCUGGCACUUCACACGGCAAAAGCAAGAGCAAGAGAGAGAGAGUGAAGCUGUUGAUAUCGAUGGAAUUCCUGACCAGUAACAUUUCCAUGAAGAUCAUUACAAUUUAUUUCUUGAAAUUCUGGGAAGGCAUGGAAACAUCACAUUGCAGCAGAUGCUGGGGAUGCAGCAAUGAACAAGACAGGCCAGAUCCCUACUCUCAGAUAAACACAAUGAUCCAGGUCAGUAGGCAUUUGGUAGGAAUCUGCAUCAAACUGUUGGGCAAUGGUAGACAGCAACAUUGACGUCUGUAAAUUUACACUUGGAUUCUUAGUUUCUGGUUGGCUGCAUCCUUCUUCUGAAGGCCACUGCUCUUUUCAGAAGACCUCCCUAGAUGGCUAAGCUCUCUGGGUUGCAACAGUUGCUCUUUUUCCUUGAGCCUUAGGUUAGGGAGUUGGGAGGAAGUAAUGGCUUCCCCCACUGCUAGCUCCAGGGUGCUACACUUUCUCUUUUCUAGUUUCCCUAAUCUGGCUUACACCAUUAUAGAUAGACCCUUUAUUAAAAUAUCCUCAAUUUAUCCAUAU